GAAGCGAGGCUGUGAAGCGGAGCAAAUCUCAAAAACCGGUCCCAGUUCGGAUUGUAGGCUGCAACUCGCCUACAUGAAGUCGGAGUUGCUAGUAAUCGCGGAUCAGAAUGCCGCGGUGAAUGCGUUCCCGGGUCUUGUACACACCGCCCGUCACACCAUGGAAGUUGGGGCGCCCGAAGUUGCCUAAGAAAUAAGGUACCUAAGGCGAAACCAAUGACUGGGGUGAAGUCGUAACAAGGUAAC
rnacentral:rRNA from 1 species